GGUAUCCUGAUAUGACCCAUCAGGGCAGUGAGUAACACAGCUGUUGGUUUCUUCAUUCAGAAAGUAUCCAUAUUUGCAGGACAUGCAUUGGUCACCAUGGCUCCCAAAGCAGGACUCACAGUUGGGGGCACACUUCCUGCAGCGCUUCUUGUCGGCGUGGUAGUGGCCAGGGGGGCAGCUGGAGACACAGACCCUGCAUUGUGAAACAAUAAGAAAGAAGGCAGCGUCAUGAGCAAACCAGUCCCCAGCAUUCUCUUGGAGGUGCUGAGCAAAUGGCUGAGCUCAGCUUCCAAAUCACUUUUAAACCAGGAUGCCAACACCACAUCCAGAGAGCCAGAUUGUUUGUUAAACUUCCUCCUGCACAGUGUGCUGAAGUAGCAAUGCAGUUACCCAACACCAAAUCUACCAAGGACUUUUCAAACCAUUUCCUGGUUUGCACCUAGCUCUUGAAAAAUGAUGGUGGUUACAGAGAGGAAGGUUAUGGUGGUGAAUCAGAGGAAAACUAUGUGGGAACCACAGCUCUAUUCAAAAAGGUCCCUUUAAAAAGGAAUGAGUGUAAUAAACAAUCACAUAGCUGGUCACAGUGAAGACUGGUACAUCUUGUCUGGAUAGCAAGUGACAAAAUGUUUCCAAGCCCUAAAGCUGAUUAUCCUCUUUGAUGCAAACAUCUGUAUAUGAUCUAUAAAGGUUCCCUCUUGAAAUAGAGGAGUGUGGCACUUCAAUGAGGAACCAGGUUGGAUCUGGCAACUUUGGCUCAUAGUGACAAGGAUGAAGAUGGUAGCUUUUUACAUGAAUAUUUUCCCACUGGAAUGGGUCCUCAAUAGAGAAAGGAUGGUGCACUUUAUGGAGAUUCUACAAUCCACUGAACAACCACAAUCAGCUCAUUUCACAAGUUUAUGGCUUAAGACUAGACUUGGACAAGAAGAAAUGGCUGUGUCAUUAUAUACUUAACUUACAUCCAUUGAAUCCUUCACUAAAAACCCACAACAUGUGUAUGUUGGGCAAGAAGACAACAGAGAAGGGGAAGAGGAGCUUUUUCAAACUGCCCUUUCUAACAGAGAGAUGUUGUUACAGGGAAUAUGUUGAUAUAGAAAUGGCUAGAGGCAGAAAAGCAGUUUAGAACCACUUCCUUCCUUAAGUCUCACAGCUCCAGCUUAAGCUCUAAUUCGUGGAGGCCAUGGUGCCAUUUGAGGGCACUGAAGCAAUAACUUGUCACACAAUACCUCUCCAAGAGUGCCGAACUUAAAAGCAGUUCCCAAACAGUUUAGACAGAACACUUGGCUCAUUGCCUCACAUCCAAAAACUACAAAGGAGACUUGAAGCUGCCAUCACAUGAGGGGCAGUCUUGUUUCCACAACCUCAGCCAACUUUUAAUCACUCAUGGGUCAAUGAUUUGACUGCUGGAUUAGCAGACCCUACGUUUCUUCCCUUCCACCCUUUCCUGUCCACCUUUGAAAGUCAUUUCAUUGCUACCAAUCACUUUCAAAUCACAUCGGGCACAAAAAUUAAAUAUAAACUGAGUGCUAAGAAGAAAUAUCCACAAAUCAGAAUUCAAGUAAGUGUUUCAAAGCCCAAACAUAAAUGAGCUCUGUCUAUGUGGCUAAGCAGUUUUCCACCCCCUGGUCUCUUCACAUUAUUCAGAGUUGGAAUGUUCAUUAAUUUCAUGUGAAUAUAAGAGUUGAGGAGAGGAAUGAAAAUGCAGCCAAACACAACCAUCACAUUUUGCUGAAAGAGUUGAUGGGGAAAAAAAACAGGCACCAAUGGUUGUUGUAUCACCUAACUGGGCUUUACAUUGCUAGUUUCAUUCCGUCCUUUAUGAGUACACAUUGUUGUGUGUUUUAACUUGGAUUCAAUAUUUCAGCUACUUCUUAUUUUCUACCAUUGUAACAUUAAAGGAAACUGCAUCUCUGCAUAAAACAAAAGGUAAUAUAGCUUGUAGGUUUGCUUUGCAUUGCAAAGAACAUACUUGCUUAAGACAAUCAAGUGUCAAACCAUGGAUACCUGCUACGGAGAUUCCAAUUGUGGGAUCUUCUUUUAUCAACUAAAAAGCUUAAUGCCCAGUGUGAACAUCCACGCUGUGCCAACAGUGAAGAGAUCAGACACAUGCCAACAUUAUUAGUGUGGGUAAAAUGUCAAUAAAGCAGAGCCAGUGUGCUGAAAGCCUAAGU
rnacentral:lncRNA from 1 species